ACACCGAACGCCCCUCUCAGUUCUCCUCGCCUCGUCACCUACCUUCCCCACCCUUAUCCCUUCACUAUCUCCCUUGCUCCCUAUUCCAUGGUGGCCAGAAGCCCAGAACUCUCUCUCUACCUCCUCCGGCCGCCCCUCCUCUUCGUCCCACCGCUGUCGCGAGGUCUCGCCCUCUCCCCACUCUUCUCAGCUCAUCCUCGUCAAAUCGAUCGCCGAAGUGCCCGAGGAUCCGCUCGAGGUCGGCAUGGUCGCUGGGCGCGGGACGAAGGCCGACGCGGAGGUGCGGAACUCGUCUCCACCAGAUUGGCGGCCGUGGCAAUCAUCCGUUGCAACCUCCGCGCCCGGUGCUUUCAUCUCCAUCUCGCUCGUCGGCAGCUCCCACCACCCUGUGAGUGCGACUGAGCUGCGCCCUGCCCUGCCCAGGUGGGCCAGUAGUUCCGCGGUGGCUGGUCCCCUGCAAGUGCAAGCCGGCGCCGGCUUAGAAGAAAUGGAUAUUGUAGAUCAUCUAAGAGUCAUGGAAUUUGUUCCAUCCUAAAUUUUUGGGACUCUGGAAUAAACACAAAGAUGGGGAUGGGGAGGCAUACCUGCCUGGCAUAAACAUCAACCCGAACCUUUUGAGCGUUGUACAGAAGUAAUUGACAGGUUUACUUCAUGAUAGUCUUGGAUUUGGUUUAGCCAAAAUGAUCAGGUACUUACUUACUUAAUUUCUGAAUAUACCAGUUAUUUGUUGAAUGCAUCAGUUAGACUACGGUGAUACAGGAAAGCUUCUCUUUAACUGAAACAACUUAAUUUUGGAGGAGGACUACCCUGUUUCCAAAUCUUAGCUCCGCCAUUGAUUCUACCUGAAUUUACUUUAGUAGUUCUUCUCUUGCAAAUUUGAGCCUAUAUGUUUGGUUUCAUAUUUUUGUUUAUCAUGCAAUACUUAUCCUGCAGCCAUCUAAUAUGCAAAUUUGAUAAUAGAAGAUGACCUCAUUUAUGUACAGAAAAAUGCAUAUUCUUGGACUGGGAUUUCUUCUACACUCUCUUGGACCGGGUUACAAAUAGAUCAUACUGACUGGGUUUUAUUCAUUCAGUCAUACAGAUUUGAAUACUAUACUGUUAAAACAAUAUGAUGGAUGGCUCCAGUUUGAUGCACUGUUAAAAUUUCAUGUUGAAGUCACAUGAGGUAGAUCUAUUAUGGUUUGUACAAAAAUGAUGCAUUGAUCAGCACACUGUUGUAAACAUGCAAAUUUGAGAGUGAAGAACAUUGUUAUAAAGAUGCAAACUUGACAGGGAUUAGGGAAGCAAUGAAGUGCGCACAUAUAUGUUAAAUAGAAUUUCCUGUAAAAUCACGAACUGGUCGGCCCCAUCACAUUAACCCAAUUGAAUAUCAUGUAAAAUCAUACCAUCUUUCCUUGGUGCGGGCAGGUGCGUUGCCUGAGGAGUUAGUCGGCGCCAACGUCGGUGGCUGCGGAAGGUGGCGAUGGCGCAACAGUGGCUUGGCGGCGCCGAUGUCUCACUGCCGUGUGCGUCUGAAAGAUCGAGAUGAUUCGCGUACGUUUAGCCAUUUGUUGUGAGCUGGAGGUGUUAAUUGCCGUUAAUUGUGGCUAAUUUUCUGUACUGAUAGGCUUAUUUAUUUGUUUUGUGGACGCGAACGCAGUAGGUGGAACUGUUCGAUCUUUUUUUUUCGGGAACGUGGAACUGUUCGAUGGAUGGCAGAGUUUCGUCCGCUAUAGUAUAAAUUGCUAAACGUACACAGGUGAAGGUUGGCUUUUA